GUCGGACUAAUACCGCAUGAAGCAGGGAUCCCGCAUAGGGAUAUUUGCUAAAGAUUCAUCGCUGAUAGAUAGGCAUGCGUUCCAUUAGGCAGUUGGCGGGGGUAACGGGCCCACCAAACCGACGAUGGAUAGGGGUUCUGAGAGGAAGGUCCCCCACAUUGGUACUGAGACACGGACCAAACUCCUACGGGAGGCAGCAUG
rnacentral:rRNA from 1 species